UUACGACCAUAUCACGUUAAAACACCGGUUCUCGUACGAUUACCAAAGUUAAGCAACAUCGAGCUUGGUCAGUAUCUUGAUGUGUGACCGCUGGACGCUCGGGCAUGCAGGUGGUGCA